UGGCUCAGGAUAGAACGCUAGCUACAGGCUUAACACAUGCAAGUCGAGGGGAAACGAUAUUGGAAGCUUGCUUCUGAUAGGCGUCGACCGGCGCACGGGUGAGUAACGCGUAUCCAACCUGCCCAUCACUUGGGGGAUAACCUUGCGAAAGUAAGACUAAUACCCAAUGACGUCUCUAGAAGACAUCUGAAAGAGAUUAAAGAUUUAUCGGUGUACGAUGGGGAUGCGUUCCAUUAGGUAGUAGGCGGGGUAACGGCCCACCUAGCCAACGAUGGAUAGGGGUUCUGAGAGGAAGGUCCCCCACAUUGGAACUGAGACACGGUCCAAACUCCUACGGGAGGCAGCAGUGAGGAAUAUUGGUCAAUGGGCGCGAGCCUGAACCAGCCAAGUAGCGUGCAGGAAGACGGCCCUAUGGGUUGUAAACUGCUUUAUAAGGGAAUAAAGUGAGUCUCGUGAGACUUUUUGCAUGUACCUUAUGAAUAAGGACCGGCUAAUUCCGUG
rnacentral:rRNA from 1 species